UUUUUGAAAACUUCCUUGCCAGUAGCAAAAGUAAAAACAAUUUUUUUUUAUAAAUAAAUGAAAGAUUAAAUGAUUAAGUUCACUUUUAAUUGGGGCAAAAAAAAGCAUUUAUAAACAAAGAAAUAUGGAUAUUUCAUUUCAACAAGUUAAAUAAUUUUCCAGUAUCUAUAAAUUGUGAACAAAAUAAUUUUCCAGUACAUUGCAAAACAUACACAACCUAAUCUUUAUACAACGAAAUGGUCUAUAAUCCUUUUACACAAACCCUCACAGCUUGCAAAAAUUUAACAUCUUCCCGAAGGAAAAACUGGAACGUCUCUUACCAGUAUCAUCAUUGAACGCGCAUUUUACACGGUAGGGAGAAAAUUAAAGAAUGAAUAAAUAUGGUAUUAACGGUUCAAAAAUUUAGUCAAUAUCAUUGAUCAUGCAUGGAACUAUCUUCAUAUUUUGAGGAAAAAACCAUUUAUCGUACCAGUGCUGAAUCCUUGUGGCGAGUCUUCAUCCUCUCUCUAAAGUAGAAACUGCUUGCAAUUGAUGUUGAUGGCAUGUUUGGUACGCUUGACUAGAAAGUUUUGAGUAAGAAAAAAAAAA
rnacentral:lncRNA from 1 species